UAGUCCACGCCCUAAACGAUGUUUACUCGAUCUUUGCGAUAUACUGUAAGGGUCCAAGCGAAAGCGUUAAGUAAACCACCUGGGGAGUACGUUCGCAAGAAUGAAACUCAAAGGAAUUGACGGGGGUCCGCACAAGCGGUGGAGUAUGUGGUUUAAUUCGAUGAUACGCGAAGAACCUUACCUAGGCUCUAAUGCUAUACGACAGUUUCAGAAAUGAAUCCUUCCUUCGGGACGUAUAGUAAGGUGCUGCAUGGUUGUCGUCAGCUCGUGCCGUGAGGUGUUGGGUUAAGUCCCGCAACGAGCGCAACCCCUAUUGUUAGUUACCAGCACGUUAAGGUGGGGACUCUAGCAAGACUGCCGGCGUAAGCCGCGAGGAAGGUGGGGACGACGUCAAAUCAUCAUGGCCUUUAUGCCCAGGGCUACACACGUGCUACAAUGGUGCAUACAGAGGGUAGCGAAGCCGCGAGGUGGAGCCAAUCCCAGAAAGUGCAUCCUAGUUCGGAUCGGAGUCUGGAACUCGA
rnacentral:rRNA from 1 species